rnacentral:rRNA from 1 species
GUAGGUGGCAAGCGUUGUCCGGAAUUAUUGGGCGUAAAGCGCGCGCAGGCGGUUCUCUAAGUCUGAUGUGAAAGCCCACGGCUCAACCGUGGAGGGUCAUUGGAAACUGGAGAACUUGAGUACAGAAGAGGAAAGCGGAAUUCCACGUGUAGCGGUGAAAUGCGUAGAGAUGUGGAGGAACACCAGUGGCGAAGGCGGCUUUCUGGUCUGUAACUGACGCUGAGGCGCGAAAGCGUGGGGGGAGCAAACAGGAUUAGAUACCCUGGUAGUCCACGCCGUAAACGAUGAGUGCUAAGUGUUAGGGGGUUUCCGCCCCUUAGUGCUGCAGCUAACGCAUUAAGCACUCCGCCUGGGAGUACGGCCGCAAGGCUG